CUACAUUUAAAUAAAGUUAUUUAACUGACCUGUUUAAGCUGCAAUUGUGGGAAGAGAAUAGAAUUCUCUUCCCACAACAUUUUUUAAAUAUCACUUCUCCUACGCAUCUAAGCGCACAUGUGAAAAUGAGGGGAAAUGCUUGCUGCCAGCGAUGGUAGAAGUCUUGGACUUGCAACCACAAGGGUGCAAUUUCUGGUUUUGAAAGCAGCUGUGGUGGGAGCUUAACCGGGUGAUAGGUUUUACAGUGCCUUAUUGUGUUUAAAUGUACCUGCAUAGGUUUGUUUAUUUAAAAAGACUGU